rnacentral:rRNA from 1 species
AUGGUUAAGGGGUUUCUUGCGUCUCUCGUGGUGGUGGAAAGCGCUUCAGAUCCUGUUACUAUUUUCUGCGAUAACCAGGCGGCAAUCAAGGUCUCAAAGGAUCCCAAGUUUCAUAGCAAAACCAAACAUAUUGAGGGAAGAUAUCAUUACAUUCAUGACGUCGUUAAUAGAUUAAGAACAGUUCGUUUAGAUUAUUUCACUAAUGUGGACAUGGUUGCUGAUCCACUGACUAAACCUCUUAGUCAGGAAGUAUUUUGUAAACAUGUUUGCAACAUGGGUCUUCGUUUCUGGAACUAG